rnacentral:rRNA from 1 species
CCUACGGGUGGCAGCAGUGGGGAAUAUUGCGCAAUGGGGAAAACCCUGACGCAGCAACGCCGCGUGAGUGAGGAAGUAUCUCGGUACGUAAAGCUCUAUCAGCGGGGAAGAAAGAGGACGGUACUCGACUAAGAAGCCCCGGCUAACAACGUGCAAGCAGCCGCGGUAAUACGUAGGGGGCAAGCGUUAUCCGGAUUUACUGGGUGUAAAGGGAGCGUAGACGGCGCCGCAAGUCUGAAGUGAAAGCCCUUGGCUCAACCACGGAACCGCUUUGGAACCUGUGAGGCUGGAGUGCUGGAGAGGUAAGCGGAAUUCCUGGUGUAGCGGUGAAAUGCGUAGAUAUCAGGAGGAACACCAGUGGCGAAGGCGGCUUACUGGACAGUGACUGACGUUGAGGCUCGAAAGCGUGGGGAGCGAACAGGAUUAGAUACCCGAGUAGUC